rnacentral:rRNA from 1 species
UACGGAGGGCGCAAGCGUUGUUCGGAAUCAUUGGGCGUAAAGCGCGUGUAGGCGGUCUGGUAAGUCGGGUGUGAAAGCCCGGGGCUCAACCCCGGAACUGCAUUCGAAACUGCCAGACUCGAGUCCCGGAGAGGGUGGUGGAAUUCCCGGUGUAGAGGUGAAAUUCGUAGAUAUCGGGAGGAACACCAGUGGCGAAGGCGACCACCUGGACGGUGACUGACGCUGAGACGCGAAAGCGUGGGGAGCAAACAGG